rnacentral:rRNA from 1 species
CAGCCGCCGCGGUAAUACGUAGGGGGCGAGCGUUGUCCGGAAUUACUGGGCGUAAAGGGCGUGUAGGCGGCCUGUUAAGUCAGGGGUGAAAGACCGGGGCUCAACCCCGGGGGUGCCUCUGAAACUGGCGGGCUUGAGUGCUCUAGAGGGCAGUGGAAUUCCCGGUGUAGCAGUGAAAUGCGUAGAGAUCGGGAGGAACACCAGUGGCGAAGGCGGCUGCCUGGGGAGUCACUGACGCUGAGGCGCGAAAGCUAGGGGAGCAAACAGGAUUAGAUACCCUGGUAGUCCUAGCCGUAAACGAUGAGCGCUAUGUGUGAGGGGUAUCGACCCCCCUCGUGCAGUAGCUAACGCAUUAAGCGCUCCGCCUGGGGAGUACGGCCGCAAGGUUGAAACUUAAGGGAAUUGGCGGG